GACGAACGCUGGCGGCGUGCCUAAUACAUGCAAGUAGAACGCUGAAGGAGGAGCUUGCUUCUCUGGAUGAGUUGCGAACGGGUGAGUAACGCGUAGGUAACCUGCCUGGUAGCGGGGGAUAACUAUUGGAAACGAUAGCUAAUACCGCAUAAGAGUAGAUGUCGCAUGACAUUUGCUUAAAAGGUGCAAUUGCAUCACUACCAGAUGGACCUGCGUUGUAUUAGCUAGUUGGUGAGGUAACGGCUCACCAAGGCAACGAUACAUAGCCGACCUGAGAGGGGGAUCGGCCACACUGGGACUGAGACACGGCCCAGACUCCUACGGGAGGCAGCAGUAGGGAAUCUUCGGCAAUAGACGGAAGUCUGACCGAGCAACGCCGCGUGAGUGAAGAAGGUUUUCGGAUCGUAAAGCUCGGUUGUAAGAGAAGAACGAGUGUGAGAGUGGAAAGUUCACACUGUGACGGUAUCUUACCAGAAAGGGACGGCUAACUACGUG
rnacentral:rRNA from 1 species